AGGCAGCAGUGAGGAAUAUUGGUCAAUGGCCGGAAGGCUGAACCAGCCAAGCCGCGUGAGGGAGGAAGGCGCAGAGCGUCGCAGACCUCUUUUGCCGGGGGACAAAAGGCCGGACUCGUCCGGUCCUGAGGGUACCCGGAGAAAAAGCAUCGGCUAACUCCGUGCC
rnacentral:rRNA from 1 species